AACAGGAGGAGAGGGUGCAGCAGGUGAGGAAGAGGCUGGAGCAGGCGCUCAUGGCCGACGUCGUUUCCCGCGGAGACGAUUCCAGGAAAAACUCGGAAACGGAGCUGGAAAACGGCCGGGAAUGCUGAGACAGGUACUUGGAUCCCCCAAAGGAGGAAAUUCCAACGAAAUUCCAAACUUUUGAGGCACUUUUGGAUUUUUUUCCCCCCCUUCGGAUUCGCGCA